rnacentral:rRNA from 1 species
GGAUUAGAUACCCUAUUAUAAGGAUUUAAAAUUAUUAAGCUUGAGUAGUAAUAGUUAUGAUCUUGAAACUUAUAGAAUUUGGCGGUGUUUUAGUCUAUUUAGAGGAAUCUGUCCCGUAAUCGAUAGUCCACGUUGAACUUAACUUGAUUUAUAAAUUUGUAUACCGCCGUUUUAUGAAAAUCUUUUUAGAGUAAAUUUUCUUGAAUUUUAAUUAUAAGGUAUUUCAGGUCAAGGUGCAGUUUAUGAUUAAGGGGUGAUGGAUUACAAUAUAACAAUGUAUAUGAAUUAUAAUUUGUAAAUUUUGUAUGAAGGUGGAUUUAAUAGUAAUAUUUUAUAGAUUGUAAAUAUGAUUUUAGCUCUAAGAUGUGCACACAUCGCCCGUCACUCUCGUUAGGUUUAAGGCGAGAUAAGUC